AGGGCUAUGCAUCAGAACUUCACAUUCGGUCAGAAAUAGAAGUAAUAACAGACAACUCUAUCGUAUCAAUUUAUUCCAUACUACAUCAAAGGUAGAGGUUAAUGGCCAAGGUAUGGAACUCUUCCUGACACACAUUGAAGAUAUAAAAGAAAGAAUGAAAUCAAGAGGGAACUAUAAGAUUUACAACAAACAGAUAGAGGAA
rnacentral:lncRNA from 1 species